GCACAAUUAUAAAAACUUUGUCACUGGAAAAAAAAACCAGAAAAAACAUCCCCAAACUGACAACACCCAUAAGAUGAAUAAAUGUUUGGUGCUUCAGUUAACCAAACAUUUUGAAUGGACCUUUUAGUAUGAGUACCUUUUUAACUUGCUUGUCUUGGGUCUUUUUCUUUUUUCUUUUGGCCACGGUGCUGUCAGUUUAUUUUCAACUAAUGAGUUUGAAUGAGGCUUUGGCUUUGGUAUAUUUGCCUCUCUUUUAUAAGAAAAUAUCAAAUAUAUUAUUUACCCGUUCAAUAAUUUCUUAAUCCAAUAAUUAAAUUCAAUAAAACAUUUCUUUAAAUAUUGAACUGUUUCCAUAGUUUGGAAUUAAUUAGCAAACUUUUUUUAAGAAUCCUAAUGAUCAUUU
rnacentral:lncRNA from 1 species